GAUUACAAGUACAGCACAUUGGAAACACCGGUUCUCGUCCGAUCACCGCAGUUAAGCAUCGUCGGGCCCAGUCAAUGCGUGCAUGGGUGGCCGACUGGGAAUACCGAGUUUUCUAUUAC
rfam:Schistosoma rodhaini strain Burundi genome assembly, scaffold: SROB_scaffold0001694